rnacentral:rRNA from 1 species
CCUACGGGAGGCUGCAGUGGGGAAUUUUGGACAAUGGGCGCAAGCCUGAUCCAGCAAUGCCGCGUGUGUGAAGAAGGCCUUCGGGUUGUAAAGCACUUUUGUCCGGAAAGAAAUCCGUCUGGCCAAUACCCGGACGGGAUGACGGUACCGGAAGAAUAAGCACCGGCUAACUACGUGCCAGCAGCCGCGGUAAUACGUAGGGAGUGAGGGUUAAUCGGAAUUACUAGGCGUAAGUGGAGCGCAGGCGUGAAAUCCCCGGGCUCAACCUGGGAACUGCAUUUGUGACUGCAAGGCUAGAGUGCGUCAGAGGGAGGUGGAAUUCCGCGUGUAGCAGUGAAAUGCGUAGAGAUGCGGAGGAACACCGAUGGCGAAGGCAGCCUCCUGGGAUGACACUGACGCUCAUGCACGAAAGCGUGGGGAGCAAACAGGAUUAGAUACCCCAGUAGUC